CCUUUCAAAGCAGGGCGCAGGCGCGCAAUUACCCAAUCCUGACUCAGGGAGGUAGUGACAAGAAAUAACAAUAAACCGGCUUAUGCCGGUUUAAUUGGAAUGAGUACAAUUUAAACAUCUUAACGAGGAACAAUUGGAGGGCAAGUCUGGUGCCAGCAGCCGCGGUAAUUCCAGCUCCAAUAGCGUAUACUAAAGUUGUUGCAGUUAAAAAGCUCGUAGUUGGAUUUCUGUGGGGACGGAGCGGCCGGCCGCACAUCGCGGUUCGAGCUAGCGCUUUCCCUACAUCCUGCCGCGAACCGUGCUACCAUUAGUUUGGUGGCGCUGGGGAUCGGCUCGAUUACUUUGAGAAAAAUAGAGUGUUCAAAGCAGGCCACAUGCCUUGAAUAAGUUAGCAUGGAAUAAUAACUAAGGACUUCGGUUCUAUUUUGUUGGUGUUCGGGACUGAAGUAAUGAUUGAUAGGGACAGUUGGGGCGGUCUGUAUUCCAAAGCGAGAGGUGAAAUUCUUAGACCUUCGGAAGACAAACAGCUGCGAAAGCGUUCCGCAAGGAUGUUCCCUUUGAUCAAGAACGAAAGUUGGGGGAUCGAAGACGAUCAGAUACCGUCGUAGUCUCAACUAUAAACUAUACCAGCUAGGGAUCGGCCAACGUUAUUUUAUACCGACUUGGUCGGCACCUUAUGAGAAAUCAAAGCAUCUGGGUUCCGGGGGGAGUAUGGUCGCAAGGCUGAAACUUAAAGGAAUUGACGGAAGGGCACCACCAGCCGUGGAGCCCGUGGCUUAAUUUGACUCAACACGGGAAAACUUACCAGGUCCAGACAUAGUAAGGAUUGACAGAUUGAUAGCUCUUUCUUGAUUCUGUGGGUGGUGGUGCAUGGCCGUUCUUAGUUGGUGGAGUGAUUUGUCUGGUUAAUUCCGUUAACGAACGAGACCCCAGCCUGCUAAAUAGCGCGCGUGAGCUUUGCUCGCGGCGAGCUUCUUAGAGGGACUAUGAUGCGCGAUAGCACAUGGAAGUUUGGGGCAAUAACAGGUCUGUGAUGCCCUUAGAUGUUCUGGGCCGCACACGGGCUACACUGGCGCCUGCAACGAGCAUAUCAGCUGGCCCGAGAGGGUCUUGGCUAAUCUUUUGAACCGGCGCCGUGCUUGGGAUUGACCUUUGCAAUUGUUGGUCAUGCAACGAGGAAUGCCUUGUAAACGCGAGUCAUCAGCUCGCAUUGAAUACGUCCCUGCCCUUUGUACACACCGCCCGUCGCUCCUACCGAUGAAUGUUCCGAUGAAAUUUUCGGAGAGCACCUGUGAACUUGGCUCUGCCUUGCGAACGGGAGGCUCAAAGUCACUUAAAUCUGAACAUUAGG
rnacentral:rRNA from 1 species